rnacentral:tRNA from 1 species
GCUCAUGUGGCUUAGUGGUAAAGCGUCACCUUGGUAAGGUGAAGAUCGACGGUUCGAUUCCGUUCAUGAGCUCCA